UGUCUAAAAGCGAAUCGCGCUAAGUUUCGGCCUUAGUUUUGGGGUCUAACCCCUUAGAUA
rnacentral:tRNA from 1 species